CUUCCCCGCACCAUGGAGUUCUCCGAGAGGAAAAGAAGCAGGAAAUCCCAGAGCUUCAAACUGGUGAGCCGAGAUUAUCACCACGAGGUGUAUAAGAUCCCAGAAUUCAGCAACGAUGUUAAUGGGGAGGCCAAAGAGACACAGCCCAUUUUUUUAGCUUUCAUGUAACCGCCUUCCCUUGAGCCAACCGGCUUCCUAAACCAGGACUUC
rnacentral:lncRNA from 1 species